rnacentral:tRNA from 1 species
GCUCCGUAGUGAAGUUCAUGUUGAGUUGCAAGCUCAUCGAUGCACGUGAGUGUGCCGGGGCCU